AGUGAACGCUGGCGGCAGGCCUAAUACAUGCAAGUCGAACGGCAGCACAGUAAGAGUUCGCCCUUACGGGUGGCGAGUGGCGGACGGGUGAGGCAUACAUCGCAAACCUAUAUUUCGUGGAGGACAACGGAGGGACGCAUACGAUAAUGCAGCAUAUGAUGAACGGGAGGAAGCAGAAGUGAUUCGCAGCUUGCCUGUCACUAAUAGCUGAUGCCGGAUUAGCUAGUUGGGGGGGUAAAGGACCACCAAGGCAACGAUCCGUAGCUGAGCUGAGAGGAUGAUCAGCCACACUGGAACUGAGACACGGUCCAGACUCCUACGGGAGGCAGCAGUGGGGAAUAUUGGGCAAUGGGCGCAAGCCUGAUCCAGCCAUGCCGCGUGGGUGAAGAAGGCCUUCGGGUUGUAAAGCCCUUUUGUUAGGAAAGAAAAGCAGCAGGUUAAUACCCCGCUGUUCUGACGGUACCCAAUGAAUAAGCACCGGCUAACUUCGUG
rnacentral:rRNA from 1 species